GUGAAGAAAAAUGUGAGGGGAAAUCCAGCAUACCAAUACCACAUGGGAAACACUCCACUAUCCACCACAGAGGCAGAGAAAGACCUGGGAGUGUAUGUUACCAGGCUACCAGUGAAGGGAUAUCCAGCACACCAAUACCACAUGGGAAACACUCCACUAUCCACCACAGAGGCAGAGAAAGACCUGGGAGUGUAUGUUACCAGGCUACCAGUGAAGGGAUAUCCAGCGCACCAAUACCACAUGGGAAACACUCCACUAUCCACCACAGAGGCAGAGAAAGACCUGGGAGUGUAUGUUACCAGGCUACCAGUGAAGGGAUAUCCAGCACACCAAUACCACAUGGGAAACACUCCACUAUCCACCACAGAGGCAGAGAAAGACCUGGGAGCAUAUGUUACCAGGCUACCAGUGAAGGGAUAUCCAGCACACCAAUACCACAUGGGAAACACUCCACUAUCCACCACAGAGGCAGAGAAAGACCUGGGAGUGUAUGUUACCAGGCUACCAGUGAAGGGAUAUCCAGCACACCAAUACCACAUGGGAAACACUCCACUAUCCACCACAGAGGCAGAGAAAGACCUGGGAGCAUAUGUUACCAGGCUACCAGUGAAGGGAUAUCCAGCACACCAAUACCACAUGGGAAACACUCCACUAUCCACCACAGAGGCA